CAUGUCUUUUUGAUUAUAAUUUAAAGUCUAACCUGCCCUAUGAAUUAAUUUUUAAAUGGCUGCGGUAUAAUGACCGUGCAAAGGUAGCAUAAUAAUUAGUUUUUUAAUUGAGAACUGGUAUGAAUGGUUGGACGAGAAAAAAGCUGUCUCAAUUUAAUUUAAAUUAGAAUUUUAUUUUUAAGUUAAAAAGCUUAAAUACAUUUAAAAGACGAGAAGACCCUAUAGAAUUUUAUAUUCGUUUUUAUUUUAUUUUUUUUAGUAUUAUUAUACUUAAAAUAAAGGUUAAUAUUUGGUUGGGGUGAUUUAAAAAUUAAAAGAACUUUUUAUAUAUAAAAACAUUAAUUUAUGAAUUUUUGAUCCAUAGAAUUAUGAUUAUCAGAUUAAAUUACCUUAGGGAUAACAGCGUAAUUUUUUUUAGAGUUCUUAUCGAAAAAAAAGUUUGCGACC
rnacentral:rRNA from 1 species